rnacentral:rRNA from 1 species
UACGUAGGGGGCUAGCGUUGUCCGGAAUCAUUGGGCGUAAAGCGCGUGUAGGCGGUCCGGUAAGUCCGCUGUGAAAGUCCGGGGCUCAACCUCGGAUCGGCCGUGGCGACUCGUGGGCUGGAGCACUGUAGAGGCGGGUGGAAUUCCGGGUGUAGCGGUGGAAUGCGUAGAGAUCCGGAAGAACACCAGUGGCGAAGGCGGCCCGCUGGGCAGUGGCUGACGCUGAAGCGCGACAGCGUGGGGAGCAAACAGG